UACGUAGGGGGCUAGCGUUGUCCGGAAUCAUUGGGCGUAAAGCGCGUGUAGGCGGCCCGGUAAGUCCGCUGUGAAAGUCUGGGGCUCAACCCUCGAAUGCCGGUGGAUACUGUCGGGCUAGAGUGCGGAAGAGGCGAGUGGAAUUCCUGGUGUAGCGGUGAAAUGCGCAGAUAUCAGGAGGAACACCAAUUGCGAAGGCAGCUCGCUGGGACGUUACUGACGCUGAGACGCGAAAGCGUGGGGAGCAAACAGG
rnacentral:rRNA from 1 species